AGCGGCGGACGGGUGAGUAACGCGUGGGUAACCUGCCCUGUACACACGGAUAACAUACCGAAAGGUAUGCUAAUACGGGAUAAUAUGCUUUUAUCGCAUGGUAGAAGUAUCAAAGCUCCGGCGGUACAGGAUGGACCCGCGUCUGAUUAGCUAGUUGGUAAGGUAACGGCUUACCAAGGCGACGAUCAGUAGCCGACCUGAGAGGGUGAUCGGCCACAUUGGAACUGAGACACGGUCCAAACUCCUACGGGAGGCAGCAGUGGGGAAUAUUGCACAAUGGGCGAAAGCCUGAUGCAGCAACGCCGCGUGAGCGAUGAAGGCCUUCGGGUCGUAAAGCUCUGUCCUCAAGGAAGAUAAUGACGGUACUUGAGGAGGAAGCCCCGGCUAACUACGUGCCAGCAGCCGCGGUAAUACGUAGGGGGCUAGCGUUAUCCGGAAUUACUGGGCGUAAAGGGUGCGUAGGUGGUUUCUUAAGUCAGAGGUGAAAGGCUGCGGCUCAACCGUAGUAAGCCUUUGAAACUGGGAAACUUGAGUGCAGGAGAGGAGAGUGGAAUUCCUAGUGUAGCGGUGAAAUGCGUAGAUAUUAGGAGGAACACCAGUUGUGAAGGCGGCUCUCUGGACUGUAACUGACACUGAGGCACGAAAGCGUGGGGAGCAAACAGGAUUAGAUACCCUGGUAGUCCACGCCGUAAACGAUGAGUACUAGCUGU
rnacentral:rRNA from 1 species